ensembl:lncRNA
GGGAGGCCGGAGAGGCCGCCGGGUGCAGAGCGGGGGUUACCACAGGACACUGCUGGGUCCGCCGGAGUCCGUCCAGGGCAGGACCUCACAACCAGCGAAAGAUCGCCACUCGCAAAUGACCCGGAGAUCUCAUUGCCUUUGGAUAUACUGUCUUUUAGCGCGUGCCAACUUAAGACGCUUGACAUGACAGUGAGUUUAUUUCAGUCAUUUCAUUCGGUUGUAUUUUGAAGCCUUUUGGCUUGGACUGAUUUUCCGGCGAGUGGAGCACCCGGUGUUUUUUGUGACCAAGUGGACCUUUCUGUUUUGACCGAAUCCUCGUAAUUUUCUGGUUUCCCCGACGCAACAUUUCUGCUGGUUUAUAGUGGCCAUCUACGAAAGUCAGUAAAGGGAUUAACGUGCUCUAUGACCAACCUAAGCUAGUGAAAUGCUAACGAUAGCGACCCGUGUGUUGCAACCUCUGUCCGCUUUGUAAACUGUAGCCUGUAGGUGUUGCUCUCAUUUCUAUUCCUUUCUACGCAGCUGCAAGUCCAAUCGUAGAAAGUUAUCGGCACUUGUAGCAGGGCAUCAGCGCAAUCCGGUUGGACUGAAAUUAGCUCCCGCAGCCGCCGGUGGGGAAGUUUGCAUGUAGCUCCAGUGUCCGAAGGGGCUAAAAGGUCAGAGGGACCGGGGCAGGCUUUGCUCGGCCGCCCCUCCUCCUCCUCUUCCAUGAGUUUUGUGAUGAAGAUGUGAACUCUCCCCGCUCCUUCCGCUCUCUCCUCGCCGUGCGCACUGCUUUGAUCUUUUCCCCACUCUUUUGGCACAAAGACAUCAAACGCUCCGUCCUCACUGCGCUCCUCUCCUCGGGGAUGUACAGUGAAAGCGUGGAUGUGGUGGGUUUGAGCCCCACUCCCAGCAGCCCCAGCCCUGGCUCUUUUCUGGGCAUGGACUACUACCACAGACCUCCGGGGCUCGGGCCGGAUAAGGGCUUGCUGUCCGGUGUUGGAGGUCUUCAGCGGACGUUUGGAGGCUCACUGGUCACCGGUAGACACUGGAGCGGUUCCAGCCAUUAGGGGUCACCCAAGAAACUUGAGACUUGACCGAUCCUCAAUGCCACUGGAGCAGGACAGCCGCCGUAAGCAAGCUGGCCACUGUGUUUUCUUUUUAACUACUGCAGUUUUUUCUGCAUCAUCAAGCUCAAAGAGAAAGUUUCAGUAUCUUAAGAAGUCAAGUGACAGCAGAGUUCAAGCCUCUUCUGAGAUCGAAAGACUUAACAAUGUAUGUAACAUCUCAUGGUUUACAGACUGUUUAAAAUAAAUUCAUCAAACUUUAGACAGGAAAUAUGCCCCAUUAACAAAUUGCUGACAUUUAUAAAGAAAUGGUCAACAAUAAGAGUAAGCGCUAUAGUCGGUAAGGUAGUGUGAACAUUUGUUUACGCUGGUUUACUGUUUUACCAUGGAUAUCAGACCCCUGACCCUGACCCCUCAGGAACUAAUUGCUUCAGUUAUUGCGCAAUACUUACAUAAAGACAAUAAAGGUAAAUGUUCUACCCCAUUAAAGCUUAGGAGGACAUUGCAAAGAGUAAAAACAGUGCUUUAGUGAGCGCUGCAGGUGCUCUUCUGAACACGCGCGGAAACCAUGAAAGCUUUUUAAGUAUAGGGAAAAUAAAUCAUGAUAUGUGAGUAAACAUUAUAACCAGGCGGCUGCAGACUUAGGAGUCAUUUUUCUUUCAACUUGACAGGCCACACAGAUCUAUCAAAUAAUCAAUUCUCUCUGGUUCAUUUAUCUCGAGUGCAGGCAGACUCUUAAGUUUAGUUUCAUUUCUUCUUCAUCAAGUAUCUUUCCCCUGUUAUUGUAUUGCCUUUACUUCCCAAAAUAAUGCUAGAGUCUUCCCUAUGUUGGCUUCCGGAGUGUGCUAUCCUCAUAAACCCCUGAUUAGAAGUGAC